GCCAUCUGAUCCAAAGGACAAAGGUUGAGGCCUGAAGGCUGUUGUCUCCAGGCAGAAGAGAAAGGCCUCUAUCUGGAGGUCCUGCCCAUCCCCAGGAUGCCAUUCCCACAGACAUUUUUUUUAAAAAACUGUAAGAGGAGGUUCCUGGGACUGUGCCUCAGCUCAUACAGCGCUUGUCUAAUUUGCAUGAAGCCCUGAGUUCCAUCCCCAGCAACUGCUUAAAACCAGUGUGAUAUCACUGUGCUGUCAUUCCAGCACUGAACAGGUGGAGGCAGGAGCAUCAGAAGUUCAAAGGUAUUCUCAGCUACUGGCUCCAAGAUGCCUCCCAGACUUAAACAUGAGAGCCGCAGGCCAGCCCCAACACCUACUGAAAAGCCAGGUGAAGGAGACUGAGAGCUGAGCAUCCUUGCUUGAAUGUCAGGUUAGGACAGACUCAGGUCUCAAGCCAAAAGGAUGGCUCACUGAGGUCAGGAUGAGAAAGCACAGCUCCUUCUGAACCUGUGAAAAGACUUGCUAACUUGCUUGGAUUGGAUAUUAAUGUAAAAAGCUAACAGCAGAAGAGGGAACUUCAUUCAGGUCCUAAGAUGAUGGGCACAUGCCUACACAACCAGCCCUCUGGAUCCAUUUACCAGUUCAAAUGAGGAAAGACACAUACAGAGAAGACAAAAACACAAAGGAGUCUGUGACAGUUUGUCUAUGCUUGGCCCAGGGAGUGGCACUAUUAGAAAGUGUGGCCUUGUUGGAGUGGGU